UGGGCCUGGAUGGCGGCGG
rnacentral:misc_RNA from 1 species